GACGAACGCGAUUCGGUCACCUUUAGGCGAGAAAGACGGAAACGAACCGUCGAAUCUAAACAGUGAGAUAUCGGGCAGUGGACUUUUGAUAUUCUCGAGUAACAGUUGGUUGUUUCCAUCUUCUCUUGUACUCCCACCUCUACACUUGUGGUACCCAACUCGGGAUGAGUCAGGCGAGAUGAACGGGUUAAGGUGGUGAGUUUUGGGCGACACGAAACGAGUCAACUCAAUAAACUUGUUUUUUACCAGGUCAAAUAACUCAAUAUGGCGAUAACUCGAGGUGGGUCUCCGAGUCGCCACUGCUAUGAAUUUAUUAUUACCUGGUGAAGUGGCUGGAGUGAACGCGUGGAGUCCAGGUGGUGUGACUCGUUGAAUCGACACUGACUCAGUCGAAACCAGUCCAGUUUGGGGCAGAAUCACUUUGUACACACUGAUCCAGUCAUCUUCUUCGCUUUUUCUGUGGAAAAACAGUGUUGACUCGUCGACCCAACACGGCCAUCCGCCGUUUUCAACUAUCUUGACCCGCUGAGUCCCAUCCCGA
rnacentral:lncRNA from 1 species